CCUAGGGUGGCAGCAGUGGGGAAUAUUGGACAAUGGGCGAAAGCCUGAUCCACCCAUGCCGCGUGUGUGAAGAAGGCCUUCGGGUUGUAAAGCACUUUCAGUGGGGAAGAAAGCCUUGGGGCUAAUACCCUCGAGGAAGGACAUCACCCACAGAAGAAGCACCGGCUAACUCCGUGCCAGCAGCCGCGGUAAUACGGAGGGCGCGAGCGUUAAUCGGAAUUACUGGGCGUAAAGCGCGCGUAGGCGGUCUGAUAAGCCGGUUGUGAAAGCCCCGGGCUCAACCUGGGAACGGCAUCCGGAACUGUCAGGCUAGAGUGCAGGAGAGGAAGGUAGAAUUCCCGGUGUAGCGGUGAAAUGCGUAGAGAUCGGGAGGAAUACCAGUGGCGAAGGCGGCCUUCUGGACUGACACUGACGCUGAGGUGCGAAAGCGUGGGUAGCAAACAGGAUUAGAUACCCGGGUAGUC
rnacentral:rRNA from 1 species